GGCGCAGUGCCAGAGUGGUUAAUGGGUGUGACUCGAAUCGUGUCGCUCUUACGGGCUUCGCUAUCUCCGAUAUCACAUGGCUUCGGCCGCGCAAGUUCGAAUCUUGUCUGCGUCG
rnacentral:tRNA from 1 species